rnacentral:rRNA from 1 species
AAACCAACAGGGAUUGCCUCAGUAACGGCGAGUGAAGCGGCAACAGCUCAAAUUUGAAAUCUGGCCCUAGGCCCGAGUUGUAAUUUGCAGAGGAUGCUUUUGGCGAGGUGCCUUCCGAGUUCCCUGGAACGGGACGCCAUAGAGGGUGAGAGCCCCGUCUGGUCGGACACCAAGCCUCUGUAAAGCUCCUUCGACGAGUCGAGUAGUUUGGGAAUGCUGCUCUAAAUGGGAGGUAUAUGUCUUCUAAAGCUAAAUACCGGCCAGAGACCGAUAGCGCACAAGUAGAGUGAUCGAAAGAUGAAAAGCACUUUGGAAAGAGAGUUAAACAGCACGUGAAAUUGUUGAAAGGGAAGCGUUCACGACCAGACUUGGGCCGGUUGAUCAUCCAGCGUUCUCGCUGGUGCACUCUGCCGGCCCAGGCCAGCAUCAGUUCGCCCCGGGGGACAAAGACGGCGGGAAUGUGGCUCCUCCGGGAGUGUUAUAGCCCAUCGUGCAAUACCCUGUGGUGGACUGAGGUUCGCGCUCUGCAAGGAUGCUGGCGUAAUGGUCGUCAACGACCCGUCUUGAAACACGGACCAAGGAGUCGUCUUCGUAUGCGAGUGUUCGGGUGUCAAACCCCUACGCGUAAUGAAAGUGAACGCAGGUGAGAGCUUCGGCGCAUCAUCGACCGAUCCUGAUGUUCUCGGAUGGAUUUGAGUAAGAGCAUACGGGGCCGGACCCGAAAGAAGGUGAACUAUGCCUGUAUAGGGUGAAGCCAGAGGAAACUCUGGUGGAGGCUCGCAGCGGUUCUGACGUGCAAAUCGAUCGUCAAAUAUGGGCAUGGGGGCGAAAGACUAAUCGAACCUUCUAGUAGCUGGUUUCCGCCGAAGUUUCCCUCAGGAUAGCAGUGUUGAACUCAGUUUUAUGAGGUAAAGCGAAUGAUUAGGGACUCGGGGGCGCUAUAUUGCCUUCAUCCAUUCUCAAACUUUAAAUAUGUAAGAAGCCCUUGUUACUUAAUUGAACGUGGGCAUUCGAAUGUAUCAACACUAGUGGGCCAUUUUUGGUAAGCAGAACUGGCGAUGCGGGAUGAACCGAACGCGAGGUUAAGGUGCCAGAGUAGACGCUCAUCAGACACCACAAAAGGUGUUAGUACAUCUUGACAGCAGGACGGUGGCCAUGGAAGUCGGAAUCCGCUAAGGACUGUGUAACAACUCACCUGCCGAAUGUACUAGCCCUGAAAAUGGAUGGCGCUCAAGCGUCUCACCCAUACCUCGCCCUCAGGGUAGAAACUAUGCCCUGAGGAGUAGGCGGACGUGGAG